AGCCAUGUCGCAGUUCACAAGAAUCCUCCCCUACUGCCUCCCUACCAGAUUCUAAGCCCGGAAACCAAGGUCCCAAGCCCAGAUCUGCGCUUUGCGAAGCAGAAACCAAACUCACCGGCAGACAAAGACGACUAUGGCGAGCCAGAAAGUCUGCGCCUGCGCACUCCUUGGCUGGCUAAUACUCCCAGAGGUCUCUUGGGCUCUGUCAAGCCCCGGCUCAGGACCGGACAGAAUCUGUCGGUAUUGGCCGGUCCUCUACUUUUCUGACUGCAGACUACAUUUCCCAUAAGUUUCGGUGGUUCGAGUCAGGUUUUCGGGCUUUCUUUCCUGCGCCAGAGUUUGUGGGAGUGUCUCCCUGGUGGGGAGAGGAGUAUUGAUUUGCAAGCUCUGAUGUGGAGGAGCACCUGGAGCCAUUGACUUUGUCAUCUGGGCCCCAAGAAUGGCCUGUUGUCUCCUUCCCCACCUCGAUUCUUCUCGGAGAGAGCUCUCCAUUGGAGGAGGAAAUAAUGGUUGUGACAAUCAAAAGUUAUGUUUAAGCGGCAAUACGACUCACUGGUGUGCCCUUCUUACUAGUGCCUCGCUUGUGUGGUAUCUGCUGAUGUCUUACUGCUGGUGAUCAUUUGGUUAAGCAAACCAAAUUUCCAUCCACAGGAUAUUUCAUUUCUCAGAAAUGGAUUCUGUAUAUACUACCCACAUUUCACUAACCGGGGUAAAAAGUUAAUAUCCUCAGAAAGGAUAUAAUGAUUGUAAGUUCAUAUUGGUGUUUCUGUUCUAAUAUCUAGUUGCUUGCCUUCACA